rnacentral:rRNA from 1 species
UACGAAGGGGGCUAGCGUUGCUCGGAAUUAUUGGGUUUAAAGGGUGCGUAGGCGGCCUUAUAAGUCAGUGCUGAAAUAUCCCGGCUUAACCGGGAGGGUGGCAUUGAUACUGUAGGGCUUGAGUGUAGUCGAGGUAGGCGGAAUUGACGGUGUAGCGGUGAAAUGCUUAGAUAUCGUCAAGAACACCGAUAGUGUAGACAGCUUACUAGGCUACAACUGACGCUGAGGCACGAAAGUGUGGGGAUCAAACAGG